rnacentral:rRNA from 1 species
ACGCUCGACACCUACGGGAGGCGGCAGUAGGGAAUCUUCCACAAUGGGCGCAAGCCUGAUGGAGCAACACCGCGUGAGUGAAGAAGGGUUUCGGCUCGUAAAGCUCUGUUGUUGGAGAAGAACGUGCGUGAGAGUAACUGUUCACGCAGUGACGGUAUCCAACCAGAAAGUCACGGCUAACUACGUGCCAUCAGCCGCGGUAAUCUGAGCGGGCUGGCAAGGC